GACGUAGGGUGCGAGCGUUGUCCGGAUUUAUUGGGCGUAAAGAGCUCGUAGGCGGCUCGUCGCGUCGACCGUGAAAACCCGCGGCUUAACUGCGGGCUUGCGGUCGAUACGGGCAGGCUGGAGUUCGGUAGGGGAGACUGGAAUUCCUGGUGUAGCGGUGAAAUGCGCAGAUAUCAGGAGGAACACCGGUGGCGAAGGCGGGUCUCUGGGCCGAUACUGACGCUGAGGAGCGAAAGCGUGGGGAGCGAACAGG
rnacentral:rRNA from 1 species